UUGUCCUGAGGAGCCAUGAUUUCUCCAGGAGCUGGGUAAAGGGCACCGGGAUCAGCCUCUCAAAGGAUUCCAGCUGGCUGUUCCAAUCCAGGAGGAAAACCGUGCCACCGAAGUCUCCCAGCACCUGGGCAGUGAAGUGCCACUUAACCCCGCUGUGAUGCACAGACCUUGCCCUGGCUGUCUGCACAGGGCUGAAUUUCACCCCUUCCGAGUUGCUAAGCAGAUGCUACCCUGUAAGAAGAGGAAACAGAAGCAAAAACUGAAAGACUGUUACUAAAACUAAUGAAGAGCUGCAGAGAGUGGAGACCCAGCAAAGCAGACAAAUGAAUACUGGAAAGGAUCCCCAAAGGAGGUGUAAGGAUCCGGGACUCUAGUGUCUGCCAGAAGCUUCAG